UUUUUGAUUAAAAUAUAAAGUCUGACCUGCCCACUGAAUAAUGAAUUAAAGGGCCGCGGUAUUUAUGACCGUGCAAAGGUAGCAUAAUCAUUAGUCUUUUAAUUGAAGACUGGAAUGAAUGGUUUAACGAAAUAAAAACUGUCUCAAUAUGAAUAAUUGAAUUUAAUUUUUAAGUGAAAAAGCUUAAAUAAAAUUAGAGGACGAGAAGACCCUAUAGAGCUUUAUAUAUAAUUUUAUAAUAAGUAUUAGGUGAAAUUUAUCUAAUUAUAUUGUUAUAUAUUUUAUUGGGGUGAUAAGAAGAUAAAAUUAACUCUUUGUUAUUAGAAACAUAGAUUAAUGAAUAUUUGAUCCAUAAAUAGUGAUUAUAAGAUUAAGUUACCUUAGGGAUAACAGCGUAAUUUUUUUUGAGAGUUCUUAUCAAUAAGAAAGAUUGCGACCUCGAUGUUGGAUUAAGGAAUAUANAUUAGGUGAAGAAGUUUAAGUUAUAAGUCUGUUCGACUUUUAAAUCCU
rnacentral:rRNA from 1 species